AUUUUCUUACAGGGAAACAACUCUUUUAUCACCUCUACAGUCAAAACAGAAAUGAUGUUCUCAUGAGGACUUCUUGCUGCAGCGUUAGAUAAAGGCAAGGCCGUGCAAGUGGCAUAAUCGCUGGUACCAAGUGGGAGCUCUCUGCAGGUUCCUCUGUUACAAUGAACUGGCUGAGGUUAUCGUGCAGCGAAGGGAUUUGUGCAGCACAGGGCAGACUGGAAGGCCACGCUGUACGGGUAGCACAGCACAGCACAGGCCUGGGGCUGCUCAGGUUAGCUGUAUUGUGUAUCAACUCCUCGACUUACAGCAGUCUUCCAGUCAGGAUCACUACAAGAUCAAGGAAAAGCAAAGUUCUGAGAACGCCUUGAAGUUCAGCACCUGAAACUAAUAGUGAACAAAUUAUGAAUUAUGGACAGAGAAGAAGCCACCAAAACAGACACAUUCCUAUACUUCUUCCUGAAGGCUCCAUGAAUCUGCAGUGUUUUAAUUCCCAAACUGCAUUACCUACUUUUGCCUACUCUCAUUAUAACCUCCCACGGCAACCACCUGUGAUCAUUGCAAAGAUGAUUCUGACUUCUCAAUGGAAA